rnacentral:rRNA from 1 species
UACAGAGGGGGCGAGCGUUGUUCGGAAUUACUGGGCGUAAAGGGCGCGUAGGCGGCCUGUUAAGUCGGACGUGAAAUCCCUCGGCUCAACCGGGGAACUGCGUCCGAUACUGGCGGGCUUGAAUUCGGGAGAGGGAUGUGGAAUUCCAGGUGUAGCGGUGAAAUGCGUAGAUAUCUGGAGGAACACCGGUGGCGAAGGCGGCAUCCUGGACCGACAUUGACGCUGAGGCGCGAAAGCCAGGGGAGCAAAUGGG